AUGUUCAGCUAUAUGAUAUUUCAGCUUGUGGGUGGUGCAGCUGUCAAGGAUGGCUUGAGAGAGAAGCUAUCAAGCAGGCUUUCCGAACCACUGUAGCGUGGCAGGAGGCACCAUGGAGGGGUCAUAUGUAAAGAGCUGAAUAAAGGAGACGAUUCUUCAAAUUCAGGGUACAUUGCUGCACGUAUAGAUGUACAGUGAUAAGAUGGGCCAUGGGGAGGACUACUGUGCUGGAACAACAAACCUGCGGAUGGAUAAGCCGUGUGAACUUUGAAGAGUGGUUUUCACAGUGGGGGUCUCCAGCUCGCUUUAUAUCCUCCAAUUUUUUUAGCUGAUCUCAGCAUGGUUAUUCUUUGUUCUUCUUCCAUCCUUUGAUCCAUUCUUACAUGUCACAUGUCGCUGCCUGUGUAAGAUCUGAGCUAUGUACAUUCACUAA